rnacentral:rRNA from 1 species
GACGAACGCUGGCGGCGUGCCUAAUACAUGCAAGUCGAGCGCAGGAAAUCGACGGAACCCUUCGGGGGGAAGUCGACGGAAUGAGCGGCGGACGGGUGAGUAACACGUAAAGAACCUGCCCUCAGGUCUGGGAUAACCACGAGAAAUCGGGGCUAAUACCGGAUGGGUCAUCGGACCGCAUGGUCCGAGGAUGAAAGGCGCUUCGGCGUCGCCUGGGGAUGGCUUUGCGGUGCAUUAGCUAGUUGGUGGGGUAAUGGCCCACCAAGGCGACGAUGCAUAGCCGACCUGAGAGGGUGAUCGGCCACACUGGGACUGAGACACGGCCCAGACUCCUACGGGAGGCAGCAGUAGGGAAUCUUCCACAAUGGACGAAAGUCUGAUGGAGCAACGCCGCGUGAACGAUGAAGGCCUUCGGGUCGUAAAGUUCUGUUGUAAGGGAAGAACAAGUGCCGCAGGCAAUGGCGGCACCUUGACGGUA